rnacentral:tRNA from 1 species
UCGAGUGUAGCGUAGUGGUAACGCACCUAGAAGCAUGCGGUAACAAGACUAGGAGAUAGAGGGUUCAAUUCCCUCCACCGAC